UACGGAGGGUGCAAGCGUUAAUCGGAAUUACUGGGCGUAAAGGGUGCGUAGGCGGUUGUUUAAGUCUGUUGUGAAAUCCCCGGGCUCAACCUGGGAAUGGCAAUGGAUACUGGGCAGCUAGAGUGUGUCAGAGGAUGGUGGAAUUCCCGGUGUAGCGGUGAAAUGCGUAGGGAUCGGGAGGAACACCGGUGGCGAAGGCGGCGAUCUGGGUAGAUACUGACGCUGAGGUGCGAAAGCGUGGGGAGCAAACAGG
rnacentral:rRNA from 1 species